rnacentral:lncRNA from 1 species
AGUGAGCGGUCAUACAAAUGCCCUUCAUGGCCUCAGGCAUUCAAACACAAAGAUAGCCUCAAAAAACACAUACAUCAUCAUGAAUGUCAAUGAUGAUUUCAGUGCAAGUUCUACUGUUCGGAGUUUUUCUUGCAGAGGCACAUUUGACUGGUUCUUUGCGAGCACUGUAACAGUGCCGAGUUAUUCAGGGUAACAGUAAAGCUGCGGGUCUAGUAGUAGUGGCAUUGCUUCAUUUUUGUCACUAGAGCAGUAUUAUGCAUACAGUAAAUUAUAGAGGCAUUCUUCGAUUACACUCAUAGUGCUUAUUUACAGUAUUCUUCAUUGACGAGUCGAACUAUAUGUUAUUAACUGUCUGAAAACUUGUGUAUUUGUGCUGAUGAGCUUCUACAACUGUGCUUUCUGCACUCCAGUUCCUUUGUGCAGUUCACUUACAAUUAAACUCGAAAACAUAGCACCAUUCCUACGAAGGAGGCCGACAGCUGUGUAUAUGUAAUAAUGGUAGUCUAAUGAUAUGUAAUAAUGAUGGUCUGGGCGAGUGUUUGCAGUGAUGGAAUGAUGUUGCAGUGAUGGAAUGAUGUUUACUUUGCACCUUUCUUGUGUUUGUGCACAUGACACCAUGCUAAAUUAUUUCUGUAUUGAAAUAUUGUGUAAUGAAGAAGGUCAGAACUACUCAGAAAAGCAGGGUCACGUUGCUGAAGGUGGCCGCAACAGAAAAUGGUUGGAGUGGUUGGGAGUUGCGGAGGCAACCUGCUGCUUUGUCCAUGGCCACGACUGCAACUGGAGGCAACGUACGGUUUCUACAUUCCAGGAUUUUAGAGAACCUAGCACUUCUACACGAUAAAACAAUAUUUAGGCAUAGCACCUUUUCUUAUAUAACACCAGAACACCAAACACCAUUUAAUUGGAAAUGGUAGAGCCAUUGGAAUUGUCUGUGUAAUGAUACGUCUUCUUUCAACGUGAGUGGCGCACCCUGCCGUAACGUGUAGCACUGAUCUACUUCAAUACAACUAGUACAAUGUAGAGCGGUAGUAACACUACAAACCUUACUUUGUAUGCAGCUUUCUAGUGCAUUGCUAUUGCUAUCAGUGCUUCACCUCUUUAACAGCGAAGCUGUUUAAGCUCACCGAAAUUUGUCUGUUGAAAACAGAAAUGAUCAUCAUCAUGGAGCAGCACAUGCUCUCUACAUCCUCUUCUUCAGCCUCUUCUUCUUCGCUCCUAGAAAUUGUGCGCUGAUUUCUCCAGCAUGGCCUGUAAUAACCCUGGUGGGUCAAAGAACGAGUACAGAGCGAGAGAAAAAAAGAAAAAGAGAAAUUUUUGGCAAAAUAUUCUUCUUGACGUGGGAUUCGAACCCACGCACUAUCAAGCCGAAGCUGAGCAUCCUAACCACUUGGCUGUGUGUGUGUGUGUGUGUGUGUGUGUGUAGAGAGAGAGAGAGAAAAGAAAAUGAUUAAAGAGGAAGAAAGAAAUAGAGAAAUAGAAAUAAAGACGGAAUAAACAGACAGAAGAAAAAAGAGGAAUAGAGGAAGAAAGGAAACAUUUGCAAAACAGCGAAGGCCAGGACUACGUAGGUGCCCAUCAGCUGUCUCUUUAGCAUGCACCUCCAAUGCAAGCUAUGCUAAUUUUUUGGCAGACCUGUCACUUCUAUGCUCUUAUUUGUUAAACUUCGAGAGGAGUUCACAGGAUGUUCCUGCAAAACUUGAGUUGUGCCAUAAUAUUAAGAACUAGCUGAGGCCUCCUGUAUUAAAAGCUGUAGGGAUGUACCUUCUAAGUGAGACUGCAGCAAUUCAUAACGUCUACUAUGACUAUGUGUUACCUGGUAACGGGACAACAUUUAGGAGCUCUUAUACAUUAAAUACGCUGUUUAAAAACUCAUGCCCGAAAUCAAUGAUGGUAAAUGCUCAAUAUUAGAUACACCACUAGUAUUUUUUAGUGACUGCAGCCUAUAAUAAUGUUUAUGCAAAUUUAUGCUUGUAAGUGCACUAGAAACGCUAAGUACAUGUGGUUUUUCUAAAGUGUCAGUGUAUUUUGUUGCAGAAAAGUAAUUUAUGUUGCAGUGAAACGGAAAUGUAUCCAAAGCGGCUUCAAUGUGAAUGUAUUACUUGGCUUAUUGUGUGACACUGCCAUGAUCAGAGAGCAGUGCCACAAAAUCACACAAUUUACAUUAUCUGUGGGGGUGUGCACAUAAUUGCUUGAAAACCAAACGGUGGCAGGUGAUUGAACAUAUGGUGUUCAAGUACAUGACAGUGCUAAAGUUGGGGAGCAGGUGCUGAGCAAACACAUCUUUGCUUCACUUUUUUUUAUAGUGACGCCGUAUAUGGCUUGGUUCUUGCAGAUCGUAUCUGCGGACAAAAGAUACGUAGCACUACAAUUUUCGGCGAGCCAAUUAACUAGACUAAUCCAGUGUUCUUGUGUCACAAAAAUGGACAUGGCAUAAAAGUAAACAUAAAGGUGUAUGAUUUCGCCGACAUGGCAGAAUGACAUGAAUAAUUUUGCUUCAAAGACAAGACCACUCGCAUGAAAAAUGAAUGUAACGCCAUUUUUGUACUUUCGACACAACAGGGUUUCUCAUGUACAACAGAAUUUCAUAUUGAGACCGCCAUUGAAUAGAUAAUAUGCGUCUUGCGCAGGAGAAAUACUGGGAUCCUUAAGUGUGCGUCUCUUUAUUCGCUCAAUAUAGUAAAUAGUGAUAGUAUAUAAAUCCACUGUAGCAAUAUUCGCUACACCAGACCCAGUAGCCACAGCUUCACUGUCUUCCAUCUUCACAUUACACUAUUGGAAGGGCUUCGAAUAUUUUUUUUCUUCAUAGGAAACACAUUAGAGCAUUGCGAAAUCAAUUCAGGCUGAGUUAAUUUCUUUUUUUAUGUCUCAAAUGGUAGUUGAGCGUUUAAAUAGUGACCCAAUUAUUCGGUCCAAAAUCACUGUGCAAUGUUACUUUUCGUUAAGAACUAUGCCUUCACGAUGGUUAGCGCAAACGCAACACGGACUGAGCAUUUCAGCAUUUGAGCCAAAUGAGCAUUUUCCAACUCGCCCAAUUCGCUACCCUCCUACAACUAUGCCUUCGUUACUUUUUUGUUCAUCUAGGUAACUGGUGCAUAACCGAUGUGUUGCUUUGUAAACGAUACGACAUGGCCUUUUCAUAUUAAGCUCAUGUUGUUGCAUCUGCAGUCUGCAUGUGUGAGCUUUUGUGGAGCUUUUUUUUCUAUUGUGAUUUAUUAUUAUGGUCCAGCUUUCUCAUUUGACCAAUUCUGCAUACAAGCAUUUCUUUGCGACAAUUUUACAUUAAACCACUUAUCACUUGAUCAAUUCUGUAAAUAUGUUGCAUCACUCUUAAUAAAUUACUGUGUUUUCCAAG